CAGCAAACGAGCAGAAAACCAGUUUCUCACAGCAUGAUAGUCCUGGAGUGACAGAACCACCAGUCAUAACACAUCCUCUCCCUGAUGCAGAGUCGCGCAGUGCAUCUGUUAGAGAAUUUUUAGGAAAAUGUUCCAGAUUGCUGGGUUUGGUGGCUCGUCCUGUUCCUCCACG